GGACUACCAGGGUUUCUAAUCCUGUUCGCUCCCCACGCUUUCGCUCCUCAGCGUCAGUAAUGGCCCAGAGACCCGCCUUCGCCACCGGUGUUCCUCCUGAUAUCUGCGCAUUCCACCGCUACACCAGGAAUUCCAGUCUCCCCUGCCACACUCCAGCACGCCCGUACCGGAAGCAGACCCACCGUUAAGCAAUGGGCUUUCACUCCCGACGCGACACGCCGCCUACGAGCCCUUUACGCCCAAUAAAUCCGGACAACGCUCGCACCCUACGUAUUACCGCGGCUGCUGGCAC
rnacentral:rRNA from 1 species